GACGUAGGGGGCGAGCGUUGUCCGGAUUUAUUGGGCGUAAAGCGUGCGUAGGCGGCUGCGCAAGUCGGUUGUGAAACCCCGGGGCUCAACCCCGGAACUGCAUCCGAUACUGCGUGGCUAGAGGUAGGUAGGGGAGAUCGGAAUUCCUGGUGUAGCGGUGAAAUGCGCAGAUAUCAGGAGGAACACCGGUGGCGAAGGCGGAUCUCUGGGCCUUACCUGACGCUCAGGCACGAAAGCUAGGGGAGCAAACGGG
rnacentral:rRNA from 1 species